rnacentral:lncRNA from 1 species
UAAAUGUAACAAGCAUUGGACCCGAAAUGAGGGAGCCCAGCUGGGGUCUUUGGGUGAAAAGUGUCCUCAACCUCUUCAAAAGCAGAGGUGCAAAUGGUCCCCAGGCAGCGAGGCAGGCAAGGCUUCUAGGUGAAGCCCCCGGCCCCCAGAGAGGGGAACCUCUUCCUGUGAUGGGUACACCGGGAUGUUUAACCACUGGUUUUCUGGGAACGAGAUGCAAACCCUGGCUCAGCAUAGGGCCAAAGACGCUGACAAGAGCAUCAGACUUGAUUCAAAUCCUGGUUCUAGGGCCUGGGUCAAGUAACUAGACUUUUCUGUUCCUUCAAUUCCUCAUCUAUGAAAUGAAGAUAAUCAAGACCUACCUCUUAAUAUAGCGGUGGAUCGAAUGUGCUAUGAUGAUGGAGGGCCUCUUUAUCUGGUAAUGCCUACUCACUUCCCUGACACUCCUGGACAAGGAUUUCUCACUGUGAGAGAAGUGAGCCACCAGAUAGAGAGGACACUCAAACAGCCCCAUGCAGAGGCCAAUAUAGAAAGGAUAAAAUAGCCAGCAUCAACUUACCGGCUUUGUAAGAGAGCCUUUAUAACUGAAUCCACUGCCCCGGUCAAGCCUUCAGAUGACUGCAGCUCUAGCCUACAUCUGGCUGCAAUCUCAGGUGUUCAGAUCAAGGGAAACUACUCUAAGAGGCUACACUUGAGGAACAACAACCAAGGAGCUUCAACUGCAUCUGGAUUUCAGGAGUCUGGAAAACUUUUCUUUUGAGCUAUUGACAGCCUUUAACAACUGAGUAAAGUGUACUCCUGUGAACAAAAUUCAGAGCCUGUUUGUUUCUCUCUACCUGAUUUCUCCAGAAUUUGGAAACUAUUUGUGAGUAUUCUUAACUUAUGGAAACAUAGUUAUUUGCAUAAGUGCAAUAAGAAUCUGUUUUCAUUUGUAACAGGACACAAUUGGAAAAACUGGUUAUUUUACCAAGGCUUUUACUGGAAUGGUGUGCUUUCUUUUAAGGAAUCAAACUUGACUUAUAGAGCCAAUAAAAGCCCCUUGGAAACACUGGCCUUAUACAUUGUCUACACAGUCUCUGUGUAGGGUUCCUAACCUGUGAGUAAAGAAUGUCACUUUUUAACAGUCCCAGGAGCCCCCAAGUUAUCUUGGGACCUGAAUAGGAAAGGAAUUUACCCAAUAAUAGAUAUUUGAGUGUACAAACCCAUGGCUGGGCUCAGCUUCAGAAAAAAGUCUUAUCUGAGAUUCCUUAUAGAACAGAGUUCCAUCAAAGCCAAUUUAAAAAGCCUAUGUGAAAAAUAAUUAUUCUUGCUGCACUUUGUAUGAAUAAUCAGGCCAAGUAUAAUAAAGUAAAUCAGUCUUACAGUGAUUUGUCUUUAGUAAAAAUGGGAAACUGGAGAGAGAAAAAAAUUGUUUCAAGAACUAUGGUACAACUGUUACUAGAUUCUAGUCUCAUUCACUGUUUUUGAAUUUUUUUCUGCAAUUUAGACUGACUCUUCUUAUUUCUGUUAACCAACCAGUGAUCUCUGGCUGCUGCUCAGAAGAACUAAGAAGGAUGGGUAAUAUAAAAUCCAGAUCAAUAUUCUUAUUCUGGGCACAUAUUGGAAUCAGCUAACAACCCCAUAUCAGUUUGGUUCCAACAAUUGCCCAGUUCAUGGAAAGCCUCUAAUUUUGUUUAUUUGGGAUGAUUUUGCUUAUUUUGCUUUACUAUUGUGGAAUAUAUUGCUGUUGUACUCUUUGUGUAGGAAUGCAGGAUAUGCUUGCUGAAUGUUUUCUUAAAUUGAACCCUUAUUCCUCUUCCAGGUACCAUCUUUUGUUGGAACUCAGUUACAAAUAACCCUCACCAUACCAGCACUUUCUGAAUGAGCUCCUCUCUACCCUGAAGGCAAAAGACCCAAUAGUUAGGCUGGAAUAUUAUCACCCCUAUUCAGCCUGAAGAAGUUACAGAAAAUGGAUCUUCAUCUGUCUACAACCCUUAGGAUUAAGUGUUCUCUUAUAAUAGGGAGGGGGGAAUUGUCAGAGGCAUUUGAAUCAAAGCAACUCCAUUUCACACAGGGGCUAAGUGAAAUAAGGCUAAGACCUACUAGGCUGCAUUCCCAGGAGGUUAAGACAUUCUAAGUCACAGGAUGAGACAGGAGAGCGGCAUAAGAUGCAGGUCAGAAAGAUCUUGUGGAUAAAACAGGUUGCAGUAAAGAAGCCAGCCAAAACAUCAAAACCAAGAUGGCGACAAAAGUGACUUCUGGUCGUCUGCACUGCUACAUUCCCGCCAGCACCACGGCAGUUUACAAAUGCCAUGGCAAUGUCAGGAGGUUGCCCUACAUGUUCUAAAAUGGGGAGGAACCCUCAGUUCCAGGAAUUGCCCACCCCUUUCCUGGAAAACUCAUGAAUAAUCCACCCUUUGUUUAGCAUAUAAACAAGAAAUAACCAUAAAAAUGGGCAACUAGGUGUGCACCACUGCUCUUCUUAUGGAGUAGCCAUUCUUUCAUUCCUUUACUUUCAUAAUAAACUUGCUUUCACUUAAAAAAAAACUUGACCCUUACCUUAUGCCAUGUAUAAAAAUUAACUCACAAUGAAUCAGGAGGUAUUCCUUUUUCCUGACUGCCUUUGAACUGGGACAUCAUUUUUUUCCCUGUCUUCAGACUUGAACUGAAACAUCAGCUUUUCUUGAGUCUCAACCUGCUGUUCUUUGGACUAGAACUGCACCAUUGGCUCUCUUGGGUUUCCAGCUUAACAACUGUAGAUCUUGGAACUUGGCAGCUUUCAUAAAUACAUGAGUUAAUUUCUUAAAAUAAAUAUAUUCAUAUGUAUGUAUAUAAAAUA